rnacentral:rRNA from 1 species
GUAGGGGAGAUUGGAAUUCCUGGUGUAGCGGUGGAAUGCGCAGAUAUCAGGAGGAACACCGAUGGCGAAGGCAGAUCUCUGGGCNGUAACUGACGCUGAGGAGCGAAAGGGUGGGGAGCAAACAGGCUUAGAUACCCUGGUAGUCCACCCCGUAAACGUUGGGAACUAGUUGUGGGGUCCUUUCCACGGAUUCCGUGACGCAGCUAACGCAUUAAGUUCCCCGCCUGGGGAGUACGGCCGCAAGGCUAAAACUCAAAGGAAUUGACGGA